rnacentral:tRNA from 1 species
GGUGAGAUGGCCGAGCGGUCUAAGGCGCCACGUUAAGGUCUUCAAAACCUUAAAACAUCUGUUCUCCGUGGUCCGAAAGGGCGUGGGUUCGAAUCCCACUCUCAUCA